UACGGAGGAGGCAAGCGUUAUCCGGAAUUAUUGGGCGUAAAGCGUCCGUAGGUGGCACUUCAAGUCUGCGGUCAAAGACCGGGGCUUAACCCUGGAAAGGCCGUGGAAACUGAAGUGCUAGAGUGCAGUAGGGGUAGAGGGAAUUCCCGGUGUAGCGGUGAAAUGCGUAGAGCUCGGGAAGAACAUCGGUGGCGAAAGCGCUCUACUGGACUGCAACUGACACUGAGGGACGAAAGCUAGGGGAGCGAAUGGG
rnacentral:rRNA from 1 species